rnacentral:rRNA from 1 species
CAGUAACACAUGCAAGUCGAACGGAGCCAAUCGAAAGAUCCCUUCGGGGUGAAUUUGAGGAAGCUUAGUGGCGGACGGGUGAGUAACGCGUGAGUAACCUGCCUUUCAGAGGGGGAUAACGUUCCGAAAGGAACGCUAAUACCGCAUAACGUAUUUUUACCGCAUGAUAGAAAUACCACAGAUUUAUCGCUGAAAGAUGGACUCGCGUCUGAUUAGCUAGUUGGAGGGGUAACGGCCCACCAAGGCGACGAUCAGUAGCCGAACUGAGAGGUUGAUCGGCCACAUUGGGACUGAGACACGGCCCAGACUCCUACGGGAGGCAGCAGUGGGGGAUAUUGCGCAAUGGGGGAAACCCUGACGCAGCAAUGCCGCGUGAAGGAAGAAGGUCUUCGGAUCGUAAACUUUUGUCUUCAGGGACGAAACAAGAUGGUACCUGAGGAGGAAGCCACGGCUAACUACGUGCCAGCAGCCGCCGUAAAAC